GUGCACUACAUAGGGAAUAGGGCCCAUAGUAGUGCACUACAUAGGGAAUAGGGCCCAUAGUAGUGCACUACAUAGGGAAUAGGGCCCAUAGUAGUGCACUACAUAGGGAAUAGGGCCCAUAGUAGUGCACUACAUAGGUAAUAGGGCCCAUAGUAGUGCACUACAUAGGUAAUAGGGCCCAUAGUAGUGCACUACAUAGGGAAUAGGGCCCAUAGUAGUGCACUACAUAGGGAAUAGGGCCCAUAGUAGUGCACUACAUAGGGAAUAGGGCCCAUAGUAGUGCACUACAUAGGGAAUAGGGUGACAUUUGGGGACAACCCCUUACACUCAACAGACAAAUCAAAAGCACGUCUCCUUGAUUUAUAUCAAAUAAAACCAAGGCUCAAAUAAAGAAGUAACGCCACAGGAGAGCGACAUCAAAGCGUAGGCCCAGUAGGCUGCUACUGGCUCCAUCUUCAGACAACACACCUGCUGUAGUCACUGGAUGUCCCAGUGAAAAGCUGCAUCUCUAAUGGGACCCUAUUCCCCAUAUGGGCCCUGGUCAUUAAUGACUUCCUAUCCCCCAUAUGGGCCCUGGUCAUUAAUGACCUCCUAUACCCCAUAUGGGCCCUGGUCAUUAAUGACUUCCUAUUCCCCCAUAUGGGCCCUGGUCAUUAAUGACUUCCUAUCCCCCCCAUAUGGGCCCUGGUCAUUAAUGACUUCCUAUCCCCCAUAUGGGCCCUGGUCAUUAAUGACUUCCUAUCCCCCAUAUGGGCCCUGGUCAUUAAUGACUUCCUAUCCCCCAUAUGGGCCCUGGUCAUUAAUGACUUCCUAUCCCCCCAUAUGGGCCCUGGUCAUUAAUGACUUCCUAUCCCCCAUAUGGGCCCUGGUCAUUAAUGACUUCCUAUCCCCCCAUAUGGGCCCUGGUCAUUAAUGACUUCCUAUCCCCCCCAUGGGCCCCGGUCAUUAAUGACCUCCUAUCCCCCAUAUGGGCCCUGGUCAUUAAUGACUUCCUAUCCCCCAUAUGGGC
ensembl:lncRNA